AUCGGCGCCAGAAGGGGAGUAGCUCCCAGACGUUGUCGCCGUCAUUUCGAGCCCGCAGGCUCCGGUGCAACGGCAGUUCCAGCCGACUGGAACUGCGAGCGAGACCUUCGCCGUACUG
rnacentral:ribozyme from 1 species